rnacentral:rRNA from 1 species
CACGUAGGGGGCAAGCGUUGUCCGGAUUCAUUGGGCGUAAAGAGCUCGUAGGCGGUUCGAUAAGUCGGGUGUGAAAUCCCAGAGCUCAACUCUGAAACUGCACUCGAUACUGCUCUGCUUGAGGACUGGAGAGGAGACUGGAAUUCACGGUGUAGCAGUGAAAUGACGCAGAUAUCAGGAGGAACACCGGUGGCGAAGGCGGCCUGCUGGGCAGUAGCUGACGCUGAUGCGCGACAGCGUGGGGAGCAAACAGG